CCGGGUUUAAAAUCACCACCAUCCUUUCUUCUAUUUUCCCCACCACAGUCCUGUGAGGUAGGCUGGGCUGAGAGGGGAAUGACUGGCCGAAAAUCUGCCAGUCAGUUGUUUAGACUAUGUGUUGGCCCUAUAACAUCAAGGCCCAAUGUCUGUGUACCUUCUCAGUCAUCCAGGUCAUGACUAUCCCAAAGGUGCUUUUUCAAGAGGCAACUGGACUUUCUUGUUUUUCUUUGAAGAUAUUUCACUUCUGAUCCCAGAAGCUUCUUCCGCUCUGACUGAAAAGACUGUUGUAGAUUGGAUAUAGAUGAGGUCGUAUCCCUUCUCCUUUGCUGUUCAAUUUUGACAUAGAUGGCCUCUUUGAUCCCUCUUUCAAACCAGUACUCUGUCAAAAAUAUUUUUGUUGUCUUCAAAGAGUGGCUUUUGUCUUUUAAAUGCAGAUGGACUGCUGAACCAGGAUAACAGUCUUUUCAGCCGUUCCAAGAAGCCCCCACCCACCUAUUUGCACUACUUAGGUGACCCCGAGAACACAGAUAAACCUCCAAUGAUCAGCUAUCUGCAAGGCAUAUAAAUCCUCAAUCAGAGCUGAGGAAGCUUCUUGAAUGAGAAGUGAAACGUCUUCAAAGAAAAACAAAGUCCAGUUCCCUCCUGAAAAAACACUUUUGGGACAUCUGAGCACAAGUGCAUCUAUUAUACCGAAGAACAUUAAACAUGGAGUCACUUAAUUGUUAUUUUUUUUUAAAAAAAUCAGAUUAUUUUCAAGAAUAAUGAAAAUUUAGCAGUACCACAAAAAAUAAUUGAAAUUCUGUAAGAUGUACUGUGACUCAAAACUUCUUCAAGAUUUUGCACUUUUUGGCAUCUUGACUUGGGAGCUUCAGGGAAGGUCGCUAACAUUUUCAGCUAAAUUUUCAGCGUAUCUUUGUCUACUUAAUAAUUUUUGGUAUGAUUAAGAAUAUAUUUAUCCACUGUUUUUAGGGGCAAUUACGCUGGAGUACGUCCUUAUAAAGAGGGGAAGCCAUGCAGUAACUGUCCAAAAGGAGACACUUGUAAAGACAAUCUCUGUAGAAAUCCUGAACGUGAGAAAGAAAACAAUUUACGUUAUUCACGAUGGUAUCCACCAUUUGAAAGGCGGAUUAUAUGUGAUCCAUCUUGCAUUGCUGUUGCUGUUUUAAGACCAUUGUUAAUGUUCCUGGCAUUUGCUGCUGUUUAUUGCUUACAAAUCUAUUAUCCGGGUUUAAGUUUUUCUAAAUAAUCUUCAGUAUUUUGUAUGCAUAAAACUUUCUUUGACUACUUUGAUUAAUUAUAAGAUUAUAUUUANA